rnacentral:rRNA from 1 species
AGAGUUUGAUCCUGGCUCAGGACGAACGCUGGCGGCGUGCCUAAUACAUGCAAGUCGAACGCUUCUUUUUCCACCGGAGCUUGCUCCACCGGAAAAAGAGGAGUGGCGAACGGGUGAGUAACACGUGGGUAACCUGCCCAUCAGAAGGGGAUAACACUUGGAAACAGGUGCUAAUACCGUAUAACAAUCGAAACCGCAUGGUUUUGAUUUGAAAGGCGCUUUCGGGUGUCGCUGAUGGAUGGACCCGCGGUGCAUUAGCUAGUUGGUGAGGUAACGGCUCACCAAGGCCACGAUGCAUAGCCGACCUGAGAGGGUGAUCGGCCACAUUGGGACUGAGACACGGCCCAAACUCCUACGGGAGGCAGCAGUAGGGAAUCUUCGGCAAUGGACGAAAGUCUGACCGAGCAACGCCGCGUGAGUGAAGAAGGUUUUCGGAUCGUAAAACUCUGUUGUUAGAGAAGAACAAGGAUGAGAGUAACUGUUCAUCCCUUGACGGUAUCUAACCAGAAAGCCACGGCUAACUACGUGCCAGCAGCCGCGGUAAUACGUAGGUGGCAAGCGUUGUCCGGAUUUAUUGGGCGUAAAGCGAGCGCAGGCGGUUU